AAAUUAACAGCCCAUUAUUAUGGAAGUUCUUUAUUGAUCGCCAAAAUGGGUUAGGUAUACCUGUUGGAGGUUGCUUCAUCAAGAGACGCUGCAUCCCAAAGUAGGUAGCAUUUUGUACAGUGGACACCGAAGGAAAGCGGCACCGUCUACAAAAAUAAUUAUGGAAUAUUUUUUGAAAAAAUAAUUGUUUCGAUAAAUUCCA
rnacentral:lncRNA from 1 species